rfam:Schistosoma mansoni strain Puerto Rico chromosome 6, complete genome
AUCCGGCUGACGAGUCCCAAAUGAGACGAAACACGCAUCCUGAAU